ensembl:lncRNA
GUUAACCAUUAAGUGACAUCUCAACCAUUUAGUAGAGAUCAAUAUUUUAAAAACUACAGGGUCUAUUGAAAAAAAAAUAUUGAUUGUGGUUAUUACUCACCCAAGUCAAUAAGAAAUGCAAAGAGAAUUUUUUUUUUCCAUUGCUUUUUUCUUGGUGUGGACCUCAAAGGGUUAACAUACUCGCAACUAUUUUAACUAUUAAAAACUACUAUUAUAAUCGAACCCAAUUAAUUUGUACUGGUUUGUGCGGUUAUUUGUAAGCAACAAAACAGAAAAUAGUUUUUAAAUAUUCAGGAUUGGAAAUCAGAGAUUGAUUUUAAAAGCCAUUUGUAGCAUUUGUGCAAUCUAUUCUUAUCUCUUCCUAUAUUAUGUCUUCUUUCUUUUUUCUUUUCUUUUCUAAAAGUGUGCACCAGCUGAUGUGACUGAAACAAUUGUGUGUGAUUGUUUCACAGAUGAUGGUAAUGGUCCAAUCCUGGUGAGUCCUGUUCAUCCUGUGACUGAGGGAGCUUCUGUUAGUCUGAGCUGCAGUUUGAGAACACAAAAAAUACUUUCCAAUGUGUUUUUCUAUCACAAUGACAAACUUAUUGAAAAUGAUCCCCGAGGGGAGCUGAAGAUCUCUGCAGUGUCAAAGUCUGAUGAAGGUUUCUACAAGUGUCAGUACUCAGGAAGAGAGUCAGCACAGAGCUGGAUGUCAGUUAAAGUAGGUGUGUUAUGUCCUGAAAGCUCUUCUUUGCCUGUGUGGUUGAUUGUUGGAUUGGCUUGUGGAAUCUCUGUCUUUAUUAUUGUCCUGCUCUCGUUUUAUCACUUUAGAAAAAAAAAGGAUUCAGGCUUCAUCAGUCCAAUGACCACCACCAAUCAUGUAGUCAACCAGAGUGAAAUUCACAAACACAACUGUCUUGACCAUGGUGCAGGUGAAAUACACGAUGUUACAUACUCUGUAAUUCAGCUUAAACAUGUUGGAAAAAAGAGGAAGCGUCAUAAAUCACAGGAGCAUACUAUUUACUCAGAGGUGAAGGUGGGAGUUGAAGAAGACAUUCCAACAUAUGCCGAGAUCAACCGUCACAAUAAAGCAAAAGCUAAGGAAAACCAGGAAGACAGUCCAACGUAUGCCCAGGUCAACCGUCACAAUAAAAGAGCAUCCAAGAACAACCAGCGUCAUUGAACCGAAUUGUAGCAGUAAAACCAACCUCAAGCUUCUUAUACAGAAAUGUCUGUAGCUUGUUCAGUAUUUUGUACAGUUUUUUUAGUGAUAGUCAUCAUCAUUAUAAUAUACAGUAUACAAUAUAUAUAAUAUAUGGUACAGACAAGGUGUUUUCAUUUAGUGUUCAUAUUAUCUGUAUUCAUUUAAUAAUAAAACAUGAUUUAAAGUUAGCUUUUGCAGUGUAACAUACGAUAGGUUCCUCUAUGGGUACAAAGAAAUACUAUAAAUGCAUGUAUUGAAAGUUUUUGAACAUUACCUAAAAGAGGACUGAUAUAAUACUGUAUGGAUUUAAAUGUGUGAAUAAAUGCAUUUCUUCAUGGAAAUUGUAUGCAGUUAUAGUUUGGGUUUUUAUCUUUUUUUAUUUUGGCCUGAGCAGUGUUUUUGUUCUAUCAUGAUAUAGCUCUACAAUAUAAUUGUAAAAAUGUAAAGGAUUUAUCUUUUGUAACUUUCAACUAAAUGACCAUGUAUACAAUAUGAAUAGCAAAUCACAGAGACAGCUUAAAGUUAAUAGACAUUUAGUACUGGGGUUCUAUUAUUUUGAAAAACGAGUGUUUAGAAAAUCCAAUCAGAGUAAAUUCUCCGCUAUAAAAAUUUUCCUCUACAUUGGACCUAAUAAUUUGCUCAUGCACCAUUUUUCUUCCGAUCUUCACUGAAAAUGGGAAAAUACUAUUUUCAGACAAAGACUCAAAAUCUCAAAAUUUUGGCAAUCUGGGUUGGUCAAAAAUCAACCAAGCAACUUUUUUUUUUUUUUCUUCGCAAUUUUGAGACCAACUGAACAGCUUUAUCCUUUCAUCUCUGCAUAUAAUGUUGGAACACCUGGGCUUGAGGUACCCCUGUUCUGAGUAAGCUUGGUUAUAAAAGUGCCCUCCUUUCUGCAGUCACACCUCUCCAUUGCUCUCUGUCUGGAUUUUUGUUUAAAGCCUUCUGACUUGGACAAGCCAGGAUAUAGCAUGAUUUCUUGAGUCAUUUUUUGUUGCUUUCUACAUGCUUUGCUAUGCAUCCUGCAUUAACGAUGGGCAACAACAUUUUGGUAUUGAUCCAAUGUUGUGUGCACUUUAUGUAGUCCUGUAUUGAUUUACUGUUUUAU